UCCUACGCGAGGCAGCAGUGGGGAAUCUUGGGGGAGGCAGCAGUGCGGAAUCCAGCACAAUGGCGCAAGCAUGAUGGCGCCAUGGUGGUAGAGUGAAGAAGUCUGGAGGAAGUAAUGUGGUAAUACCAGAGAUAAUGACGGUACAUGAGAGAGACCCGUUGCC
rnacentral:rRNA from 1 species